rnacentral:SRP_RNA from 1 species
GCUGGAUGCGGUGGUGCGUGCCUAUAGUCUCAGCUACUCAGGAGGCUGAGGCUGGAGGAUCGCUUGAGUCUAGGAGUUCUGGGCUGUAGUGCACUAUGCCGAUCGGGUGUCCACACUAAGUUCAGCAUCAAUAUGGUGACCUCCUGGGAGCGGGGGACCACCAGGUUGCCUGAGGAGGGGUGAACCAGCCCAGGUCGGAAACGGAGCAGGUCAAAACUCCCGUGCUGAUCAGUAGUGGGAUCACACCUGUGAAUAGUCACUGCUUUCCAGCCUGGGCAACAUAGGGAGGCCCCAUUUCU